rnacentral:rRNA from 1 species
CGUGCCAGCAGCCGCGGUAAUACGUAGGUGGCAAGCGUUGUCCGGAUUUAUUGGGCGUAAAGCGAGCGCAGGCGGUUUUUUAGGUCUGAUGUGAAAGCCUUCGGCUUAACCGGAGAAGUGCAUCGGAAACCGGGAAACUUGAGUGCAGAAGAGGACAGUGGAACUCCAUGUGUAGCGGUGAAAUGCGUAGAUAUAUGGAAGAACACCAGUGGCGAAUGCGGCUGUCUGGUCUGCAACUGACGCUGAGGCUCGAAAGCAUGGGUAGCGAACAGGAUUAGAUACCCUGGUAGUCCAUGCCGUAAACGAUGAGUGCUAAGUGUUGGAGGGUUUCCGCCCUUCAGUGCUGCAGCUAACGCAUUAAGCACUCCGCCUGGGGAGUACGACCGCAAGGUUGAAACUCAAAGGAAUUGACGGGGGCCCGCACAAGCGGUGGAGCAUGUGGUUUAAUUCGAUGCUACGCGAAGAACCUUACCAGGUCUUGACAUCUUCUGCUAACCUAAGAGAUUAGGCGUUCCCUUCGGGGACGGAAUGACAGGUGGUGCAUGGUUGUCGUCAGCUCGUGUCGUGAGAUGUUGGGUUAAGUCCCGCAACGAGCGCAACCCUUAUUGUCAGUUGCCAGCAUUCAGUUGGGCACUCUGGCGAGACUGCCGGUGACAAACCGGAGGAAGGUGGAGAUGACGUCAAAUCAUCAUGCCCCUUAUGACCUGGGCUACACACGUGCUACAAUGGACGGUACAACGAGUUGCGAAACCGCGAGGUCAAGCUAAUCUCUGAAAGCCGUUCUCAGUUCGGAUUGCAGGCUGCAACUCGCCUGCAUGAAGUUGGAAUCGCUAGUAAUCGUGGAUCAGCAUGCCACGGUGAAUACGUUCCCGGGCCUUGUACACACCGCCCGUCACACCAUGAGAGUUUGUAACACCCAAAGCCGGUGAGGUAACCUUCGGGAGCCAGCCGUCUAAGGUGGGACAGAUGAUUAGGGUGAAGUCGUAACAAGGUAGCCGUAGGAGAACCUGCGGCUGGAUCACCUCCUUUCUAA